CGCUAGUAAUCGCGCAUCAGCCAUGGCGCGGUGAAUACGUUCCCGGGCCUUGUACACACCGCCCGUCAAGCCAUGAAAGGCCGGGGGUACCUGAAGUACGUAACCGCAAGGAGCGUCCUAGGGUAAAACUGGUAAUUGGGGCUAAGUCGUAACAAGGUAGC
rnacentral:rRNA from 1 species